AACGUAGGAGACAAACGUUAUCCGGAGUUACUGGGCGUAAAGGGCGUGUAGGUGGUUUCGUAAGUCUGGCGUGAAAUUUUUCGGCUUAACCGGGAAAGGUCGUCGGAUACUGCGGAACUAGAGGACGGUAGAGGCGUGUGGAAUUCCGGGUGUAGUGGUGAAAUGCGUAGAGAUCCGGAGGAACACCAGUGGCGAAGGCGACACGCUGGGCCGUACCUGACACUGAUGUGCGACAGCAUGGGGAGCAAACAGG
rnacentral:rRNA from 1 species